rnacentral:rRNA from 1 species
CCUACGGGUGGCAGCAGUGAGGAAUAUUGGUCAAUGGACGAGAGUCUGAACCAGCCAAGUAGCGUGAAGGAUGACUGCCCUACGGGUUGUAAACUUCUUUUAUAUGGGAAUAAAAUGUUCCACGUGUGGGAUUUUGUAUGUACCAUAUGAAUAAGGCUCGGCUAACUCCGUUCCAGCAGCCGCGGUAAUACGGAGGAUUCGAGCGUUAUCCGGAUUUUUUGGGGUUAAAGGGAGCGGAGGGGGAUUGUUAAGUUCGUUGUGAAAGUUUGCGGCUUAACCGUAAUAUUGCAGUUGAAACUGGCAGUCUUGAGUACAGUAGAGGUGGGCGGAAUUCGUGGUGUAGCGGUGAAAUGCUUAGAUAUCACGAAGAACUCCGAUUGCGAAGGCAGCUCACUGGACUGCAACUGACACUGAGGCUCGAAAGUGUGGGGAUCAAACAGGAUUAGAUACCCUGGUAGUC